rnacentral:rRNA from 1 species
UACAUAGGGGGCGAGCGUUGUCCGGAAUGACUGGGCGUAAAGGGUGUGUAGGCGGUUUGGUAAGUUAGAAGUGUAAUACCCAGGGCUUAACUUGGGUGCUGCUUCUAAUACUGCCGAGCUUGAGUGUCGGAGAGGAUAGUGGAAUUCCCAGUGUAGCGGUGGAAUGCAUAGAUAUUGGGAGGAACACCGGAGGCGAAAGCGGCUAUCUGGACGACAACUGGCGCUGAGGCACGAAAGCGUGGGGAGCAAA